UAGGGAAUCUUCCGCAAUGGACGCAAGUCUGACGGAGCAACGCCGCGUGAGUGAAGAAGGAUUUCGGUUCGUAAAACUCUGUUGUUAGAGAAGAACAGCGCAUAGAGUAACUGUUAUGCGUGUGACGGUAUCUAACCAGAAAGCCACGGCUAACUACGUGCCAGCAGCCGCGGUAAUACGUAGGUGGCAAGCGUUGUCCGGAUUUAUUGGGCGUAAAGCGAGCGCAGGCGGUCAAUUAAGUCUGAUGUGAAAGCCCCCGGCUCAACCGGGGAGGGUCAUUGGAAACUGGUCGACUUGAGUGCAGAAGAGGAGAGUGGAAUUCCAUGUGUAGCGGUGAAAUGCGUAGAUAUAUGGAGGAACACCAGUGGCGAAGGCGACUCUCUGGUCUGUAACUGACGCUGAGGCUCGAAAGCGUGGGUAGCAAACAGG
rnacentral:rRNA from 1 species